UGCUCCCUGGCAAUGGGAAAAAAGACACAUUGUUGGUGGUGGUGUUCUUACAUCAGUUGGGGACAGAGCAGAUGGCAGUCCUUUGUUCUUCCUAGCUUAAUUCCCAGCUUGGUGGCCGAAGCUGUCUUAUGCCUAGGACUCAUAA